rnacentral:lncRNA from 1 species
UUAAAUUCAUCUUUAGAUUAAGAUGCAAUCAAAAACAGUAAUUUCCUCUUUUCAUAUUCUGACAACUCAUUUUAUUCAAGUCAAGCAUCACCUCGAUCAUUUAUCUCAGGUACUGGAUGCUCUUCAACUCAAGUAUUUUCAUAUACUCCACAUUCAACACUCAAACGUAAGGCCGGAAUAACCACCUUCUCCAUCCUCUCUUCUACCUCGGUACCUCCUACUCCACAUGCGCCACCGCACAUUGCUGCAGUCAAAAUGGAAGACUGUCAAUAAGUUGUCUUGAUUAGAUCCACCUGAGCAGCUCGAACCAAAAUAGAUCCACCUGAGCAACUUUAAUAUAUUUGCUUUGCAGCUGGCAUGUAUCCUGAUUUUGGAGCCUGGU